CAGGUGCUGGUGCGUAUGGUGAAGGGGUUGAAUGUUGGCUUGGUGGUGGUGGUGCUGAUACGGGAGUUGUACACUCUGGUGGGGGUGGAGGAGGAGGUAUAGGAUGACAUGACUCCUUGGGUGGUGGAUGAAACUCUACUGGUGGAGGUGGAGAUUGAGUCCCCGCAUGCUCAUGAGAUGGUGGUGGAGGUGGACUUGCUUGCUGCCCUCUUGACGGAUAAGGAGGUGGAAAAUACUGAACUUGAGGUGGCGGCGGUGGAGGCGAUGAAUGACUAGGCGUGGGAACAUAAUGAACAGAUGGGGGAGGAGGAGGUGCAUAAUGGGUACUUGGUGAUAUACUCUUUGUUGGCGGUGGCGGCGAAGGUGUGUUGUAGUAAUGGUUUGGUGAUUGUGGUGGUGGUGGUGGAUUAUUAUAGUAAUGGCCUGAUGGAGUUGGAGGUGGUUGCUCCAUUGGUGGUGAGGGUGGUGUAUUGUGGUAAUGGCUUGAUGGUGGAGCGUUGGAGUAACGGUUUGGUGGUGGUGGUGCACUAUAGUAAUGGCCUGAUGGGGCUGGUGCAGGUGGUUGUACCAUUGGUGGUGGAGGUGGAGAUUGUAUGGGCUCGUAGUGAACAGGCGGAGGUGGCGGUGGAAGAUGCGUCUUUGGUGACACUCUUUGAGUCGGAG
rnacentral:lncRNA from 1 species